rnacentral:lncRNA from 1 species
GCAGUGAAAGGUGACCAUUGUUUGUUGUAGCUUCUUGCAAGCCUUUAGAGUUGUGACUUCAUUAAUUGCUUCUGUUUUCACCAAUGGGCAAUGGUGAAUAAUGAGCCUUGAGAAUCCAUUAGGUGACUUCAUCAAAGACUUGCCUUAUCAGGCAUACUUUUAUAUAAAAACCAUAGAAGAAAAAAGGAAUAUUGCAAGCAAUCUGUUUUUUUCAAACCUGCCAUUUUGAUGCAAGUUUCACCAGUUAUGCAUGGUUUUUAAGUUCUGUGUUGCCUCAAUGGAGUAUUAUAGCAUUAUUAUUUUUACAUAGAGUGGUGAAACCUUUAGUUCUUUAGAUUAUGAUUAUAUGUGCUACCAAAAAGAAAUGUGACAGCUUGUUGCCUUUUUCUCAAUUAAAUUUGCUUGUGAGGGAGCUUCUUGAUCCCCAAUAGCAAUAGCUGGUGAUAAUAAUAUGUUCUCUUUUCCAGGGAUGAGUCAUUGAAGGAGCAGAGUUUCUGGAGCAUCAAGGAAUGGUGGGUGAACCAUUACAACCUGCUAUAUUCCAAAAAAAAGUCUUGUGUACAUUAAAGCGAGCAUGAUGGUCUACAGAGUUUAGUAUUUCUGCAUCUUGCAUACUUUGUUUAGCUAGUCAUUUUCUAAAGCCUACAAUAGUUAUGCUAGUUUUGUGUGCAGCUAGUUCCUAGCCUUGCCCGUGUUGGCCAAGCAGUACAGCAAGGCAUCCUCAUUGGACGAUGUUGCCAAUGACUAAGCCUUGGCAAUCUCAAGUGAUCGAACUGCGCAUUUGUAGGUUGCAAGUGGUGACUUUAACCUAAAAGUCAAAUGCUUGUUGGAUGCUAAUCCUGGAUAGUAGCUAAUUCUUUCAUAUCUUCAGGAUAUUUCAAGCGCUGCGUAGUCUGCCAAAACAAGGUUUUGAUGUUUCCCUCGCACAAAAGCAAUUGCAAGAAGAGCGUGGACAUCAACUUGUCAUGUAUGAUUUCUUUUUGUUCUGUUAAUUAGGCCAGAGUUAGUGCUUGUGGUCUCUGGUUGUGGCGCUAUGUUUGUUACUAUUUAACAUGUUCAUGCUUAAUGAGUUGCUCUUUGUUAAUGGCGAUGAUUUUGUCUUGCAACUAAGGUGCAAGGGCCGUGUUGAGUCCUUUUGCCUUGCAAUUUCCUCUCACUAUACCUCUCUUAGUUGAUGAUUCUGACGUGGUUGCAUUCCACCUCUCUUGGUUGAUCACUUUUAAUGUGGUUGUACCUGAUAGUUGUCAUGUGGAUAUGAUAGCUGGUGACUCCCUCUAUUUGUUAUUUGAUUAUUGUAUUGUUACGUAUCGAUUGGGUAGAGUAUAAUAUUUCUAUUCUCAAUAACUUAGUUACUUCACUGCCUGUCUGGUAGUUUUUCCUUAGCUGUCAUGGUCCAAGGAUGAUCUCUAAUAGUUGUACUGAAUUUGUGUGCAGCAAGGCAGCAACCAUGCCCAUGAUGGCCAGGCUGUACAACAAGAGAGCCCCGAAGAAAUGAAGACAAAAAUAAACAGACUGUCGCAGGUAAUGGCCUUAAUGGCAUGGCAUGAUUCUGUCUUGCAUCUGAUGUGUAAUGGCCUUUGAUGGACUAUGGUAGUGACUACGGUAAUGAAGUGUCGUUGUCAAGGAAUCAUCCACGCCAUCAAUAUUUUAGUGUUUAAUUAUGAUGUAUCCCUCUAACCUGGCUAUCAUCCCAGCUAGCAUGCAGUAACUAUGUGGCCGGCGGAGUAGAGCAAAAGGGACCCCUAGUCUAUACUAAAGCUUAGCUUUGCUACCGUGAAGUUAUCCGGUAAGAAAGGUACAUUAUGAGCCUAGAGAUCUUCUACAUCAAGUUAGAAGUACAUUUCUAUCAACAUUCUUUAGUAAGCACUAAAGAAUCAUUAUGGAAAUGAGUUAUCUCGUAAGAAGAUUACGAAACAAGUGAAUGGUGGACCUAGCACUUAUGUUUAAUAUGCAGCUCGAGUAGCCUUGGUUUAUAGUUUAGAAAAGUUGUCUGUCAGCAUGCUAUAUCAUUUUUUUAUGUUUAUCAAGAAUGUUUCUGAAUAUGGACAUCUUUCCUGAGCUAUAGGAUGGAAGUAAUACGGAUCGUGUGAGUAAUGGUUCACCAAAAACUUGUAGGAAGCAGAAGCGUGGCCGUGCAUAGCUUCAAUCUUUGGCGAAGACAUCUAAUACACACUGCUUUGGUCCAUUGCAAUCUCAGCCUGCUUCGUCAAGAUAUGGAUGCCUUUCUUUGUUGAAGAAGAAAUGUUCUGGAGGUAGUUUGAUCAUUGAACUCUUCUAUUUUGUAUUUUUGUUAGUGCAUCACUAAGGUGUGCUAUGCAAUACCAGUGCUCUUUUUGGAAAUGGUAACUUGAUUGUUCGUGACUACGUGUAAGAUGCAAUGUUGAGUGGUUUGGUUAGGUACCCUACUGCUGCAAAUCAAAUCAUUUCCAACUGCUCUGCUUUUGUCUUUGAAAACUCUGUUUUGUUGUCUACAUUUGAGCUGGGAUAUACAGGGCAAAAUGUUUCCUGUGUGAGUUGCUACUAUGUUGUACAGUACUAGCUUAGCUUUUUUGUGUCAACCAAUCAGUUCAUGUUUAGAGAAAUCCUGAUAGAUGAAGGACUUUUGUUUGGUUCUUGAUGAUGAUAAACUAGGAAUAUUUACUCUAAUCAAGAACUCUAUCUGCAUGCUUCGCUGGUUACCCUGUAAUCAUGUAUAUAUGCCAUUUGAAGAAUUUUUUGUUAACCUUGGUCUGCCAUGAAGUGCGGUUUAUCUUUGAGGAAUCUGCUAUUGUAUUUUAGCGAAUUUGUAUUAUUUUCUACAAUGAAAUCCUGUAUAGAAUUUUUUAACAACCUAGCAAAAUUGCAUGAUCCAGUUCAUACCUUUGGCUCAACUGUGACCUAUGUCUGACUCCUUGCUGUUUGAGAUGUAUGAGACUUAAUAGAUAGGAUAAAUUCAUGAUAAUGCUUACAAUCGACAAAAUGGUUGUUGAUGAUAUUGAUUCUCCCUUUGAUUGUUGCAUGUAUUUCUAGAUAAGGUGUAGACUACAUUUUUAACUAAUGGCACAGGUUGCUUUACCAAAUUUAUGAGUGGUUUGUUGCAUGUGACUUGUCUUCUUAUAUCUUCUCCACAUUCCUAUGAUUUGUCAUGUAAUAAAAAAUUGAUGACUUGACGCGUGUUUUGUGCUUGAUAAUGAAGAAAUCUUGGCGAAAAUUCAGAGAUCCCAGAAGAAAUAAGGUUAAAAUAAAAUCAUGGUUGUUGAAGACAAUUCUGAAGCCGGUAACUCUCCUGCAGGCAUGUGAAUCGCUAUCUGUGGGAACCCAGAACAAUGACUCACUCCGGUAAGAUGCCUGGGUUCUAUUACCACCCUUGGGGUGUUCUUUGUUGUCAUUCAAGUCAUUGAAUACAAGAAAGAAUUGCCUCUAGCAGUGAAAGGUGACCACGGUUUCUUAUAGCUUCUUGAGAGCCUUUAGAGUUGAGACAUCAUUAGUUGCUUCUGUUUUCUCCAGAGGAAGGUGACUAAUGAGCCUUGAGAACCCAUUAGUUUAUAAGGACCUGCCUUACCAGGCAUCCUUUAUAUAUAAACCAUCGAAGGAGAAAAAAUGGCAAGCAAUCUGUUUCCGGCAAAUCGGCCAUUUGAUGCAAGUUUCACCAAUUAUGCAUGGUCUUUAGGUUCUUUGUUGCAUCACUAGAGCAUUACUAGCAUUAUUUCUUUUACGUAGAGAAAGCAUUAGUUCUUUAGAUUAUGAUUAUAUGUGCUACCAAAGAGAAAUGUGACAGCUUGUUGCCUUGUUCUCAAUUAAAUUUGCUUGUCAGGGAUCUUCUUGAUCCCCAAUAGCAAUAGUUGGUGAUAAUAAUAUGUUAUAUUUUCAGAAAUUUGUGCACGUGCACUUCCAGGGAUGAGUCAAUGAAAGUCUGGAGUUUCUAGAGCAUCGAGGCAUGGUGGGUGAACCAUUACAACCUGC